rnacentral:rRNA from 1 species
AUUCCAGCUCCAAUAGCGUAUAUUAAAGUUGUUGCAGUUAAAAAGCUCGUAGUUGGAUUUCUGGUGAGUUCGUUUGGCCGGUCGUAAAGGUCUGUGCCGAAAUGUUAUUCGCCAUCCUUGGUGUAAUCUUGUCCGCCAUUAAGUUGUGUGGGCUUGAGGAUGCCAUCGUUUACUGUGAAAAAAUUAGAGUGUUCAAAGCAGGCUUAUGCCGUUGAAUACAUUAGCAUGGAAUAAUAAGAUAGGACCCUGGUACUAUUUUGUUGGUUUGCGUACCUAGGUAAUGAUUAAUAGGGACAGUUGGGGGUAUUUGUAUUCCGUUGUCAGAGGUGAAAUUCUUGGAUUUACGGAAGACAAACUACUGCGAAAGCAUUUACCAAGGAUGUUUUCAUCA